AAGGCACUGGGCUUGGGAGGCGUACAAGCGACUGUGUUAGGUCCGUCCACUCGUGGCCGUAAACCCUAAUCCAAUCCCGAUCGAGGCGCGGCGGAGCGACCGCAUACCCCAAUCCAUCCACUCCUGAUUCGGUUGCUUCCAAAAAAAGUCCCGAUUGGAGGCGCAGCGGGAGCGACCGCAUCGAAUCCAUCCACUCCAGAUCCGAGGCGCAGAGAGGAUCCAAUGCAUCCAGUCUGUCCCGAUUCAAGGUGCGGUGGACCGACCACGUCGAAUCCAUCCAGCCCGGAUUCGAGGCGCAGAGAUGGCCAAUUCAUCAAUCCGUGAAUCGCCGUCCGGCUGGUCGUCUCUUGAAACUGCUACCGUGGGUUUGAAGGAAGUAAUCACUCUUCAGUUUCUCUCCAGCCAUUCAUGGUGGAUGAUGUGCGCCCCUUGCUGUCAUUAAUGGAUGCCUGGCUCUUUGUUUCUCAUUCUUCCGAUGUGUAUAUAUGCUUCCUCUACGCUCACUCUUCUAACUCCGGUGACAGAACAUCCAUCAGCAUGGUGCUCUUCUAGGUAUUGUUCAAACUGGGAGAUGGUCGAUUGUUUUGGCCAGAUAUUGGAAACUGGUUCUCGCAUCUUUUUUUCUGAAAUUCUUCAGGUGAUAGUUCUAAUGGCUUCUCGACAGAAGUGAGCAAAGCCCAAUAAUCUUACCGAUAUUUGGAAGUAUGUGUGUGGAUUUUCAAGACACGGUGCAGGCUUUGUUGCAUCAUUCCAAGUAUAAGGCAAGAUACACUUGGUUCAGUCUGGGGGCAGUGAUGUCAGCAAAUCGUUGGAAGAGAUCAGGAGGAGCUAUUUUAGUUACGACCUGAGGCACAACGAGCAGGAGGAGUUGGCCAACUGGAGUGCUAGAUUCAGGGCAAGUUUGCCUAAGCACUUUUAUUAGUUCCGUUGAUAAUACCAGGACUGGAGAACUGAAAGCCCUUGUAGAUGCAAGAGGAACAAGAUUGACAACGGCCUUUUGCAUUGCACUCUUCAUAAAGCUUCAAGCUCAAGGCCUUCGAUAUUUGUGAAGUUUUCCAGGAAGAAGAUUGACUAUAGCAUCUUGGAGUGCACUAAUAUUAAUAAAUAAACCCUUCAAUAUUUUUGUCGCCCAAAGGCUACAAGUUCUGUAAUUUACCCCAAAUACUUAGCAUUUUCUCUAACCAAAUAUGAGUGUAAUGUUUCAGAUCAUAUAUUCCCAGUAUUAUUAAGACAUCAUGUAUGUGAAGUUA